UACGUAGGUGGCGAGCGUUGUCCGGAAUCACUGGGCGUAAAGGGCGCGUAGGCGGCAAGUCAAGUCGCAUGUGAAAAACCAGGGCUCAACUCUGGGGGGUCAUGCGAAACUGAUUAGCUUGAGUGCAGUAGAGGGAAGCGGAAUUCCUGGUGUAGCGGUAAAAUGCGUAGAGAUCAGGAGGAACACCGGUGGCGAAGGCGGCUUUCUGGGCUGCAACUGACGCUGAAGCGCGAAAGCGUGGGGAG
rnacentral:rRNA from 1 species